rnacentral:rRNA from 1 species
AGGGAAUCUUCCGCAAUGGACGAAAGUCUGACGGAGCAACGCCGCGUGAGUGAAGAAGGUCUUCGGAUCGUAAAACUCUGUUGUUAGGGAAGAACAAGUAUCGUUCGAAUAGGGCGGUACCUUGACGGUACCUAACCAGAAAGCCACGGCUAACUACGUGCCAGCAGCCGCGGUAAUACGUAGGUGGCAAGCGUUGUCCGGAAUUAUUGGGCGUAAAGCGCGCGCAGGCGGUUUCUUAAGGCUGAUGUGAAAGCCCCCGGCUCAACCGGGGAGGGGCAUUGGAAACUGGGGAACUUGAGUGCAGAAGAGGAGAGUGGAAUUCCACGUGUAGCGGUGAAAUGCUUAGAGAUGUGGAGGAACACCAGUGGCGAAGGCGACUCUCUGGUCUGUAACUGACGCUGAGGCGCGAAAGCGUGGGGAGCGAAC